rnacentral:tRNA from 2 species
GAGGAAAUUGUGAAGUUACUGCUAAUAAUUUCGUGUCAAUUUGGUUUGACUUUCUCUUU